rnacentral:rRNA from 1 species
AACGAACGCUGGCGGCAGGCUUAACACAUGCAAGUCGAGCGCCCCGCAAGGGGAGCGGCAGACGGGUGAGUAACGCGUGGGAAUCUACCCAUCUCUACGGAAUAACGCAUGGAAACGUGUGCUAAUACCGUAUACGUCCUUCGGGAGAAAGAUUUAUCGGAGAUGGAUGGGCCCGCGUUGGAUUAGCUAGUUGGUGGGGUAAAGGCCUACCAAGGCGACGAUCCAUAGCUGGUCUGAGAGGAUGAUCAGCCACACUGGGACUGAGACACGGCCCAGACUCUUACGGGAGGCAGCAGUGGGGAAUAUUGGACAAUGGGCGCAAGCCUGAUCCAGCCAUGCCGCGUGAGUGAUGAAGGCCCUAGGGUUGUAAAGCUCUUUCACCGGUGAAGAUAAUGACGGUAACCGGAAAAGAAGCCCCGGCUAACUUCGUGCCAGCAGCCGCAGUAACAC